rnacentral:rRNA from 1 species
AUGGUACUGAUCAUAUCAUGCAAGAAUGCUUGUAAAAACAAAUGGUUUCAGCCUUCAGAUUUCAUUGAUAUUCUCAGGAUGGCUGAUGAGCUAUCUGGCAGCUUCUGCACGAACAGUAGCGAGCCAGCUAAUGACAGCACCGUGCUUGAAAUCAUUUCAACAGUAAUGCCAAGGUAUUAUCCUAAGUUGAAGUUCGACCGUCUAAUCACUUCGCUGGAAGCAAAGGUUGGAUAUGAUAUUUUGAUGGCCGACUUCUUUAUUCAUAGAAAUCUACCUAAACAUGAAAAGAUUUGUCUAGUUGUUGUCCAAAAGGAAAAAUUAGAUGUCUCAUCAUGUAUCGCGAGCCCCCAGCAUGUGAGCUUUUUAGUAAACGGAAAAGGUGUGGACAAGAGGACUAAUGUUUCAAUGGAAACAGGACCCCAGUUCCCCACAGAUAUCACUAAGAUGCUCAAAUAUGGUGCAAACAUUGUACAAGCUGUUGGGUAUUUUACUGCUAAUUACAUCAUAGCUGUGGCAGUUGUGAACAAUUUGAUGUCUUUUGAUGCUCCAAAACUCAGUGACUAUGCCCAACCAGUCACAACAGAUCUUCCUGAUUCAGAUUCAGAUAUGCUACUGGAAGGGCCAUCAAGAGUUUCCCUAAAGUGCCCCAUAAGUUUUAGGCGUGUGCAAACCCCAGUUAAAGGGCGGCUAUGCAAACACCAUCAGUGUUUUGAUUAUGACAGUUACAUGGAUAUUAACUCGAGGAAACCAACCUGGCGCUGUCCAUGUUGUAAUACUCCUUCAAAUUUCAUUGACAUUCGAAUUGAUCAAGAGAUGGCCAAGAUUUUACAAGAGACUGGUAAUGAUAUCAUGGAUGUUCUUGUAUUCCCUGAUGGAUCUUGGAAAGCUGUUUCAGUUCAUGAUGAGAAAUCAGAUAAACAUGGUGAUGCAAUUCAGCAGAACGGGAAUACUGUAGAAACUGAUGCAACUCCUUCGGAUGUUAUAGACCUAAUAAACAAGGAUGAUGAUGGUGAUCUGCCUAUGAGCUCGGCAUCUCCCUCGGAAGAUUUGAAGCCUGUGUUGAAUAGUCAAGAUAUAUCUGUCAUGGACUAUCUUCCGGAUUUCCCUCUAAGCACAGCCGCUCAGUCAGAAGAUAUGUAUGUAGGAGGUGGAACUUCAACUUCUGGCCAAAAUUCGUUACCUUCAUCUAGUGGCGGACCUGGCACUAGUUCAAUUGGGACCUUGGAGUCUAUUCUCCCUAGAGAUAUCCUGCAAAUGCUACCUGCUACCACACGUGCCAUCUCUCCUUCUGAAACCUCCAAUUUAACAUCUGCCAUGCAACAAGUUUCACAAGGAUACCCCAAUAUUAUGCAGAUGCAAUCACAGCUAGAUUCUUUACUUCGAUCAGCACAUCAUACUAGAAAUGUCAGGAGAGAGCCUGUAGCAGUCCAGGCUCUGGCAGUGCCACAACAUAAUUCAUCUAGAAGGGUGCAGGCAAAUGUCUCGAAUUGUCCACCUCCCACCCCGCAGUCCAUUUCACCUUCUUCAAACUACCAAGCACAUCAUGUGACAAAUGCAGACAGUGUAAUCACAUCGAUGGUUAAUGGUGUUGGGCCACUCUCAAGGGCUCCUGAUGGUUCCUCACCAUUCCAUCUACAGUCGACACAACAGGAUAUGCGCAACAUGCCAAACCAUCAACGUGGUCGGGUUAUGGGCCUUGCUGCAAAUCCCUACAUGCAUAUGAGACCGCCGACAGGAGGCCCAGGACAGGGUAGAGGUGCUAAUGCCUAUGGAGGUCCCUACCCUCAACAGUAUCAGCAAUAUGACCAGCGACAGUUUGACAAUCUAAUAGGCCAACUGGUGAACCGAGGCGGGCCAGUUAGUCAGGCCACACCAGGCCAUCUCUAUGUUCCCCAGCAGAGCCAGGCAAUGAGAACGCAAGCAUUGUCCCGACCGUCAACUCCAGCAGUGCAACCGCGCGUGCAGUCUCCUGGUCUAGCACCUACAGCUCCGCGUGUGCAGUCUCCUGGCCUAGCACCUACCGUUCCGCGUGUGCAGUCUCCUGGCCUAGCACCUACUGCUCCGCGUGUGCAGUCUCCUGGCCUAGCACCUACUGCUCCACGUGUGCAGUCUCCUGGCCUAGCACCCACUGUUCCACGUGUGCAGUCUCCUGGUCUACCACCUUCUCCGACUCCCGCUACGCCCCUCCUCGAGGACUCCGAUGUCCCGGAGAUUGAGAUGGAUCCGAACUGGCAGCCCACGGGGCAGAUGAGGGGGAGCCUGGUAGGCUCUGCUUACGAUCAAGCAAUCGAACGGUAUCUGCAGCCUGGUGGUGGUCAGCGGACAAAUCAGUCUCGGCCACCAGGCAGGUAA